CAAUAGCGUAUAUUAAAGUUGUUGCAGUUAAAAAGCUCGUAGUUGGAUUUGUGGCGUACGGUGGGUUCCGGGCACUUGUUGUCUGAGUAACUUGCUGUUGCCAUCCUUGGGUGGAACCUGUGUGGCAUUAGGUUGUCGUGCAGGGGAUGCCCAUCAUUUACUGUGAAAAAAUUAGAGUGUUCAAAGCAGGCUUAUGCCGUUGAAUAUAUUAGCAUGGAAUAAUGAGAUGGGACUUUUUUGCUAUUUUGUUGGUUUGCGCAAAGAGGUAAUGAUUAAUAGGGACAGUUGGGGGUAUUCGUAUUCCAUUGUCAGAGGUGAAAUUCUUGGAUUUUUGGAAGACGAACUACUGCGAAAGCAUUUACCAAGGAUGUUUUCAUUAA
rnacentral:rRNA from 1 species